UGUACAAAUUCUUCUUAUUUCUCAAGUGCAUCGGUCCCUUAUCGCCGAAUGUUUAUAAAUCGACACAUGAAAUGUAUACACAAAAGUCGGCACGAACUUAUGGGAUGACCUAAUAUUAUUAGAUUUUUUAU